rnacentral:rRNA from 1 species
GACGGAGGGUGCAAGCGUUGCUCGGAAUCAUUGGGCGUAAAGGGUGCGUAGGCGGCUUUUUAAGUCUGACGUGAAAGCCCAGGCUUAGCCUUGGAAGUGACGCCAGAAACUGGAAGGCUAGAGUGCCGGAGGGGAGAGUGGAAUUCCUGGUGUAGCGGUGAAAUGCGCAGGAUAUCGAGGAGGAACACCGGGUGGCGAAGGCGGGUCUCUGGGCCGGAU